rnacentral:rRNA from 1 species
UACAGAGGGUGCGAGCGUUAAUCGGAAUUACUGGGCGUAAAGCGUGCGUAGACGGUUAUUUAAGUCGGGUGUGAAAGCCCCGGGCUCAACCUGGGAAUUGCAUUCGAGACUGAAUAGCUAGGGUACGGUAGAGGGAAGCGGAAUUUCCGGUGUAGCGGUGAAAUGCGUAGAUAUCGGAAGGAACAUCAGUGGCGAAAAGCGGACUUCCUGG